AGUGUUAGUUUAGAAAUGUUAGGAUUCUCAAGUUAUUAUGAGGGAAAGAAUAAUAGGAUCAGAAGAAAUGAGAAGAUGUUUUUGGAUUUUUUACAACGGGGACUAAACCUAAUUUUUUUAUUAAUGGACCUGACAAGAUUUCACAAUCAUGCUCCUACAUAUCUCAAUAGAGAACUCAAGGCACACGUAGUUCUGGGUAGAAAAU
rnacentral:lncRNA from 1 species